rnacentral:rRNA from 1 species
UGGAGGAUAUUGCACAAUGGGCGAAAGCCUGAUGCAGCGACGCCGCGUGGGGGAUGAAGGCCUUCGGGUUGUAAACUUCUUUUGCUCUGAACAAGGCGCACCAUGGGGUGUGUUGAGUGUAGGGGUUGAUUAGCGCCGGCUAACUACGUGCCAGCAGCCGCGGUAAUACGUAGGGCGCGAGCGUUGUCCGGAAUUAUUGGGCGUAAAGGGCUUGUAGGUGGCUGGUUGCGUCUGUCGUGAAAGCUCAUGGCUUAACUGUGGGUUUGCGGUGGGUACGGGCUGGCUUGAGUGCAGUAGGGGAGGCUGGAAUUCCUGGUGUAGCGGUGGAAUGCGCAGAUAUCAGGAGGAAUACCGGUGGCGAAGGCGGGUCUCUGGGCUGUUACUGACACUGAGGAGCGAAAGCAUGGGGAGCGAACAGG